GGGGAGGGACCUGCAGCCAGGUGAUCCGGGUGCCUGUAUUUCUUCCCAAGGAUAAUGUGAGUUGAUGCUGGCUGAGAUCUGCUCCGAUGAGGGUUUGAAAGAGAGAGCUCCGGGUGUCAAAGUCAGUGGAUGGCAAAACAUGCCUGGAGGGAGCAACCAGGCAUCCGACCACAGGCCCUGGGCUGGGGGGUGGUGGAAGCAGAGGAAGGAGAGAGAAGGAAAUUUGGGAGGAAGAGUGGGCACGAACUGGCUGCCCAAUUGUGUGGGUGGGUAGGUGGCAGGGAGGGACUGGAUGUUCUGGGUCUGCCCCUCCGGCCGCACCACACCUGCUUCCAGGUGAGCUUAGGAAUUUCCCAGGCUUCCUCCCAGCUGGAGCCAGACGUGUCCCUCAGAGGCCCCAGCCCUGCCCAUCCUUUCCUGCCCUACCCAGGGCUUCUCUACCUUCUUGGCUUGGCCUGCUCCUUGUUCACACCUUGGUAAAUGACCCUUCACAAAAGUCAUUUUCUCUAUUUGUGCUUUUCUUUCUUUUGCCAGGACCCUUGACUUUCUCGACAGGGAGGGGGAGGCAAGGCUGGUGCCCAGUGCUCUGCCUGCACUGGUCAGUGCGCGUGGCUGUCACUUGGCUGGGAAGCUAGGCCAGGAGAGCAGCUGCAGCUGUGGAGGUCAGCAGUUGAGAGGUGGAGAGACCUGAGCACACUUGGGCCAGCUGUCCCAUGGCAUUUGGGAGCCCAGGACCGAGCCGGGGGGCAAGUGUGGGCAAUGCUUGGAGCCACAGAGUGGGGGUAGGGAAUUGGAGGGGUAGAGAGGACAACUCAAACUAAGCCAGGAACCCACAGAGGAGACCAGGAAAGGAAAACCAAGAAGGAGUGAGUCCCCAAUGCCCCCAAAUGGAUCCAUAUAUCGAAUGAUCCCCAGUAAAAGUAGCUCCAUGAUGAUUCCAAAGCCCUUAGGAAACUAAAGGUGCCAGGAGAAUGAAUAGACACGUCUCCAUAGAAGACACACACUGGCCAACAAGUACAUGGGAAAUGUCCAGCAUCCUCCAGGAAAUGCAAAGCAAAACCACAGUGAGAUCCCACCUCCCACCCGCUGGGACUGGGCAGAUGCAGUCCUGGCAAACCAGUCUUGGUGAGGAGGGGGGGUAUCAGAGCCCUGCUGCACUGAGAUACACACACACAAAAUGGAAUAGUAUUCAGUCUUAAAAAGGAAAGAAAUUCCAGUACUGGCUGCAACUUGGAUGGACCCUGAGGAUCCUAUGCUGAGUUAAAUAAGCCAGUCACAGAAGAACACGUACCAUACAAUCCCACUUAUGUGAGGUCCCUAGAGUAGUCACUUUCAUAGAGAUAGUAGCUGACAGGAGGAGCAUGGGGAGUGACUGUUUAAUGAACACAGACUUGAAAUUUGGGAAGAGGUAAAAGUUCUGGAGAUGGAUGGUGGUGAUGGGUGGUGAUGAUGGACAUUGGAGAUGGGCAAUGGACAUGGAUGGUGGUGAUGGAUGGUAUAAAUGGAUAUUGGAUGUGGACAGCGGACGUGGACAGUGGAGAUAGAGGGUGGUGAUGGCUGGUGGACAUGGACAGUGAAGAUAGAGAGUAGUGAUGGAUGGUGGAGAUAGAGGGCGGUGAUGGACAGUGGAGAUAGAGGGUGGUGAUGGACAGUGGAGAUAGAGGGUGGUGAUGGACAGUGGACAUGGACAGUGGAGAUAGAGGGUAGUGAUGGACAGUGGAGAUAGAGGGUGGUGAUGGACAGUGGACAUGGACAGUGGAGAUAAAGAGUGGUGAUGGACAGUGGAGAUAGAGGGUGGUGAUGGAUGGUGGACAUGGACAGUGGAGAUAGAGGGUGGUGAUGGACAGUGGAGAUAAAAGGUGGUGACGGACAGUGGAGAUAGAGGGUGGUGA
rnacentral:lncRNA from 1 species